AGCACUUUGGGAAUGUACUGAGUAUAUGGGGUGUAUGCAAUUAAGUAAACAACAUCGUAAGUUUAUAUAAAAUCAUGCAUGCGGAUCAUAAUGACUCACAAAGCUGGAAUAAAGCUGAAAUAUAAGAAUUUUAAAUCAUGAAUAAUGAACAUAUAUCAUAAAUCUCGUGAGUCAUCAUACUUAGCUCAAAAUAUAAACUUCUUCUUUUCUUCUCAAAACUCAAAGGUUAAGGAAAUCCGUAAACAAUACUUUCAAAUCUCAUACUUUCAACUUAAUUCAGAGUAAGGGACAACUUCGGGAGUUUCUUUUAACCGACAUAAAAAAUAUGAGCUUAUCAUGGAGUCCAACGUUUUGUCCUCCUAAGGAAGAAACCCCACAUUGGGAAGGAGCGUCAUACUCUUGCCAGGGAGUAUAACCUCAACUCAGUGAUCACCAACUCGGCCUUAGGCCCACAAAUCUCAAUCCUACGGUGGCACGUAGUUUUAGGAAAGUAGGGUACGCUCACCCACACCUCCCGCUCGAUGCUAAAUACUACUCCCGUACUCAAGUUUAGACUCAUUUAGGAAAUCCACCUCAAAAUAAUCUCAAGCGUCUAUAAUGAAGACCAAAUCAUAUUUCUCAUAAUUGAAUCAAAAUAAAUUGUGGAUUCCUAUUUUCAACUCAAAAUCACAAUAUCAUUCUUGACUCAAAUCUUCUCAAAAUCAUAUCUUUAUCAAAAUCAAACCCAUUCUUGACAUAAAUACAAUAGUUCAAUUUUUUUUUCCAAGAACAUAGACUUAAAAAUCUCAACACCAAAUCUUUAGACUCAAAUUCAAGAUUCAAAACUCAUAACAAUUCGCAAUAUCAACUCAACCCACUAUUAUUCUUGAAAUCAUUCAACAAUACAAAUUCAUAAGUAAAGGAUAUAACUCAUGAUAUAAACUUUUAAUUCAAGACAUAAUAAAUACAAGGUCAUGAAAAUCACAACUUAAAUAACUCAUAAUCCCAUAAUCUCAUAAAUAGUAUCUUGGUAUAAAUAUAUUCAACUUUAAUUUCAUAAAUACCAUAUAAAAUCAAAAACAUAUCUUGUAAUAAAAAUUAAGUUUUGGGCACAAGAACGGAAGGAUUAUUCUUGUUCAACACCCACAUACCUCAAAUUUAUGAGUAUUAAUGAACUUUUGAAUAGGAAACUCUAUUUGCAAAAUUGAUAGGCGCUCCUUGUAGCUCUUGUAAUGGGGAUCCCAACUCUUAAAUUAUUUUUGAAUUUCUACGGUUGAAUUUUGAGGGAUCUUGAUUUUUGUUUUGGGGCUAAGGGAAGUUGUUCUUGUGAAUUUGGAGAAUAAGGAUCAGAUUUUGGUCUAAAUGACCAUUAAUUCCGUGUUUAUGGAUAUAUAUAUAUAUAGGGGUAGGAAAGACUAAAAUACCCCUAAGGAAACAAACAAAGUCACAGCUGUCCCUCAGUUGACAGGUUUGAUAUGCUGGCGUAAAUUGGCCAUAUCUUUUUACUCAGAUGUUCAAAUUGGAUGAAACCAAUUGAAUUGGAAAGAAGACUCAAAGAGAUUUCAUUUGAUAUCUAGCAGCUCUCCCAGUUUAUUAUAUACAAAAAGUUAUGAUUAUUACAAGUUGACACUGAAAUGCUGAAAACUGGGCACCUGACCAGCACCUUUUGCCACUGGUUUGACAUACCAAACGUGCCCUUACGCUACUCCAAAAAUUCUGAAUCUCACCCAAGAUAUACUAUGACCUUUCCCCGAAGUUAAGGACUCAAAAAUAAACUAAGUUUUGGAAAUGCUUAGUAGAAUUUCAAGGCAUAAGAUUUCCUUCAACUCACUCAGAAGGCUUAAACGUCGUGAAAAUUUUACGGAGUAUUACAAUAUCUCCCCCUUGGGAACAUUCGUCCUCAAAUGUCUCUCAGCAGGCUAAGAAUAUAGAGAAACCGAGAAUACGCAACUCAGAGAACUUACUUAAUUGGCUCAACUUCACUCUAAACUCAUGAAUACUUCAAAGAAUACAUGAACUCUUGAUGAGAAUGAAUAAACAGCUGAAUCAUGAAUAUGAAAGGACUGAAUUAUGAAAGAGUAGUACCUUCAGCUUGCUUGGAGAAGAGGUGCGGGUAUUUGGUUCACAUGUCUGCUUUUGCUUCCCAAGUAUCUCCCUCAACUGACUGACUACGCCAUAAAACUUUGACCAAGGGAACUUCUUUGUUCCUUAGUUGACGGAUCUGAUAGUCUAGAAUCUCAAAUGGAACCUCAUCAUACGAAAUAUUGUCAUGGACAUUAGGAUUCUCCUAAGGAUCUACAACAACAGCAUCACUAAUACACUUCCUAAGCAUAGAUACAUGGAAGAACGGAUGGAUAGCUAAAAAUUCUGCAGGUAGCUCAAUCUCAUAGGCUACUUUCCCAACACGACUCAAAACUCUAUAAGGACUAAUAUACCGGGGACUAAGCUUCCCCUUCUUCCCAAACCUCUUCACUCCCUUCAUUGGUGAAAUCUUCAGAUACACUAAGUCACUAAUCUCGAACUCAAGGUCUCUUCUUCUCACAUCUGCAUAAGACUUCUGGCGACUCUGAGCCUCCUUUAAUUUUUCUCUAACCAAUCUUACCUUCUCCAUGGCUUUGAAUACUACAUCAUGUCCAGUCACAACAGCUUCACCCACCUCGAACCAACCUAUGGGUGAUCUACAUCUUUUACCAUAUAAAGCCUCAAAUAGUGCCAUCUGAUUGCUAGCAUGGAAACUAUUGUUAUAAGCAAACUCAAUCAAAGGCAAAUGUUCAUCCCAACUACCUUUGAAAUCAAGUGCACAAGCACUCAACGUGUCCUCCAAAGUUUGAAUAGUCCUCUCAGCCUAGCCGUCAUUUUGUGGAUGAAAUGCAGAACUCAAAUGAACUUGGGUACCAAGACCCUUCUGAAAAGAUCUCUAAAACUGUGAAGUGAACUCAGUACCCUUAUCUGAAAUGAUGGACAAGGGAACUCCAUGCAAUCUGACUAACUCACGAAUAUACAAUCUAGCAUAAUCCUUAGCUGUAUAAGAUGUAUGCACAGGUAUAAAAUGCGCUGACUUAGUCAAUCGAUCUACAACAACCCAAAUAGAAUCAUGAUGAUGACGCGAAGGAGGUAAACCAGUCACAAAAUCCAUAUUCACCCCUUCCCAUUUCCAAGUAGGAAUGCUAAACUCUUUUAUUUUACCACUAGGUCUUUGGUGCUCUACCUUAACCUUUUGGCAAGUCGCACACUUUGCUACAAAUGCUGCUAUAUCCUUCUUUAUACCCCUUCACCAAUAGAUUUCCCGCAAGUCGCGGUACAUCUUGGUAGCACCUGGAUGAAUAGAAUAUCGCGUGUCAUGCGCUUCAGCCAUAACUCUCUGCCUCAAAUCAUCAACAUCAGGUACACAUAACCUACCCUGCAAUCUCAACACCCCAUCUCCCCCUUGGUAGAAAACCUCAAUCUUUUGGUCCUUGACUGACUCCUUCAAUCUGACCAAACUAGUAUCUAAGUCUUGCUUUUUCUUCACCUCCGAGACUAAAGAGGACUCGGAACUACUCUGUAGUAACAUACUCCCUUCAGCGGAAUCAAGCAACCUAACACCCAAUCUAGCCAAACGAUGCACAUCAUGAGCUAAUUCUUUCUUAUCAUUCUCCACAUGAGAUACACUACCUAUAGACAACCUGCUAAGAGCAUCUGCUACAACAUUUACCUUACCCGGGUGAUACAACACACUCAUAUCAUAGUCUUUUAACAAUUCUAACCAUCUUCUCUACCUAAGGUUCAACUCCAUCUGAGUAAACACAUAUUGCAAGAUUUUGUGAUCAGUAAACAUAUCAACAUGAGCACCAUACAAAUAAUGUCUCCAGAUUUUCAAAGUAAAAACAACAACAGCUAAUUCAAGAUCAUGGGUAGGUAACUCUUUUCAUGAGGUUUCAACUGUCUAGAGGCAUAGGCUAUAACUUUACCUCGCUGCGUCAACACAAAAGCCAAACCAACUCUAGAGGCAUGACAAUACACAACAAAACCAUCAGUACCAUCAGGCAAAGCUAACACGAGAGCUGAAGUGAGUCGAGUCUUUAACUCCUGAAAAUUCUUCUCACAAGUAUCUGUCCACUGGAACUUAACUUUCUUUUGGGUCAACCGGGUCAUAGGAGAUGCAAUAGAAGAGAAAACUUCGACAAAACGACGGUAAUAACCAGCUAGACCCAAAAACUCCUAAUGUCAGAUGGGGAGGUAGUUCUAGGCCAAUUCUUUAAAGCUUCUGUCUUUUGGGGGUCAACUCGAAUGCCUUCGUCAGAAACAAUAUGACCCAAAAAAGCAAUCGACCUUAACCAAAACUCAUAUUUGCUAAAUUUAGCGAAUAACUGAUGAUCUUUAAGGGUUUGUAGGACAAUUCUAAGAUGAUUGGCAUGAUCAUUCUCACUUCGGGAAUACACAAGAAUAUCGUCUAUGAAUAUAAUGACAAAUAUAUCAAGGUACUAUUUGAACACUCGAUUCAUGAGGUCCAUAAAGGCUGUGGGAGCAUUGGUUAACCCAAAGGACAUGACAAGAAACUCAAAGUAACCAUAACAGGUUCGGAAGGCUAUCUUUGGAAUAUCACAUUCUCUCACUUUAAGUUGAUGAUAGCCGGAUCUGAGGUCUAUCUUUGAGAAAUAACUCGCACCCUAUGACUGGUCAAACAAAUCAUCAAUUCUAGGAAGAGGAUAUUUGUUCGUGAUGGUGACCUUAUUAAGCUGACGAAAGUCGAUAUAUAUACGCAAAGAACCAUCUUUCUUUCGCACGAAUAGAACAGGUGCACCCCAAGGAGAAAUACUGGGCCUUAUAAAACCUUUAUCUAAAAGAUCUUUAAGUUGUUCUUUCAACUCCUUAAGUUCUGCAGGAGCCAUACGAUAUGGAGGAAUAGAAAUAGGUUUUAUAUCGGUAAAAAGGUCAAUCCCUAACUCUAUCUCUCUAUCGGGAGGCAACCCUAGAAGAUCUUUCGAAAAGACAUCAGGAAACUCAUUAACUAUGCUAACUGACUGAAGUGUCUGAGCUUCGAACUCAGUGUCUUUAACUCUAACCAGGUGAUAGAUACAACCUUUGGAUAUCAAUUUUCUGGCUUUGAGAUAGGAGAUAAAAUGACUCUUAGGAGACAUAGAAUUUCUGGACCACUCGAAAACUGGCUCAUCUGGAAAUUGAAACUUGACUACGCAGGUACGAUAGUCAAUAGAUGUGUAACAAGAAUGAAGCCAAUCCAUACCCAGAAUAACAUCAAAAUCCACCAUGUCCAACUCUAUCAAAUCAGCAAGUAUGACUGUGUGAAGAACAGUAACAGGACACUUUUUAUACACUUGUCUAGCAACAACAGACUCCCCUACUGAAGUGGAAACAAGGAAAGGCUUAGAAAUCUUUUCAGGACUCACUUCAAAUUUGACAACAACCAAUGGUGUCACAUAGGAAAAACUUGACCCAGGGUCCAGCAAUACAUAAACAUCAAAGUGGAAAACACAAAGCAUACCAGUAACAACAUCUAGAGAAUCCUCCUGCUCCUGGCGGGAUGGUAGAGCAUAAAAUCUGUUCUGGCGCUAACCGCCACCAGUGCUAGAAGAAGCGCCCUGAGGAGGAGCUGGACGAGCUACUGGAGCUGGUGCACUAGUAUCCUAAGUCUGAGGUCGAGCAUCACGAUUCCCCUGCCUAGCAUACGAGCAAUCUCAAAGUCUGUGGCCUAUCUUGCCACAACCAAAACAACCCCUCUGAUCAGCAAAGCACUCACAAGGAUGAUCUCUACCACACUUAGCACAUGGAGGACUACGAGGUCUAUGACUGACACUGUUAUAGGAUCUAGACAUAGCAGGCCUGUUCUCCUGAACCUGCCUGUCUCUUGGUGUGGGGGUACUGGCUGAAGAAAAAGUAGGUAAAGGUGGACGACUCAAAAACUGCGGAUGAUUCCCUCCGUGGGACCUAGCCUGGCUGUAUUCAUUCUGCUCAGAUCUAGCUCUUUUGUUACCCCUCACUCGAUCUUUUUCCCUUAGUUUAUCCGUCUCUAUCUGUUGUGCAUAAAUCAUCAACCUGGACAGAUCCAAUUCCCUGUUCAACAUAGCAAUCAUGCAUUCUUUCACAAUAAGGCCAGAAACACCUGUCAAGAAUUUAUUCAUAAUAGUGCAAGUGUCGGACAUCAAAUUAGGAACAUAUUUGGCUAGCUGAUUGAACUUCAGGCCGUACUCCUUAACCGUCAUAGAGCCCUGCCUUAGGUUCAUGAACUCCUUAAUUUUUGCUUCCCUCAGCUCCAACGGAAAGAACUUAUCCAAGAAUGCAUCUUGGAAUAUAUGCCAAGUAACGAGAAUGUCAUCUCCCCCUCUACCCUUCCUCCAACCAACUACCCAGUCAUACGCAAUGUCUUUCAACCUGUAAGAAGCCAGCUCAACGCCUUCUUCCUCAGAAAUAUGCAUUACCCGUAUGAUCUUUCUUACCUCCUCCAAAAAUAACUGUGGGUCCUCACCUUCUUUAGACCCAUAGAACUCAGGCGGAUUCAUCCUCAUAAAGUCACGAAGUCUAGCUGCAGCCGAAUCACUUCCUUGUGGGGGCGGAACUGCAGCCUAAUGACUAACCUGAGCAUUAACAGUGACUGCAUGGGCUAAUGCCUGAAAAGCUUCCCGGAACUCAGCAUGCGACACAUUUUCGUUCGGAGGGUUUUCAGGUUGAGGUGGCUGGUCAUUGAUUCUACGGAUACUGGCUCGGCGACGAGGCAUAUUCUGUCAUAAGAGAGCAUAAGUUAUUAGCAGAGAGAGACAACAGUAAGCACGACAUGUUAUGAAACAAAGAUAUGACUUUUUCCUAAAACGUCUCGUAGCCUCUUGCUCAUAGAUGUGGCGCGCUACACACCGAUGAUCAAGACUCUAUGCAACGCGGCUUAUCAGACUCUCUAGGACUCUCUUUAUAUCUUAGGCUCUGAUAACAAGUUUGUAACUCCCCAAAAUCUCACCCCGAGACGUCACACGGUGCUUAGGGAUAUACGUAGAUCCCAAGCUAACCCUUUGAUCCUACAACCAUACUUUAUACUUAAUUUAAGAAUUAAAAUCAAAUAAUCUAAGUUUCACUCUCAUCAAUCCAUGUUGUAAAUAUAAUGUCCAAGUCUCAAGAUACAGAGUAAUCUAGAAAUACAAAUCACAGUCUAGUCUGAAAAACCUCUACAACUCAAGAAUAGGAAGCCACUGGGACAGACCCCAACAGACUCAUACUCAAAUAGAAUAAGAUAAAUACAACAACUGAUGUUACAAAACAUCUGGAAAUAUGGUCCUUGAACCGUGAGGACUCACCACUGCAGGAGUGUAGAUAAAAGCGCUCAGAAAUCAUUGACGCUGCUGGGACUGAGUACCUGAACCUACAUCAUAAGAAAAUGUAGCCCACAUACGGAUAUGUGGGUCAGCAUUUUGGGAAUGUACUGAGUAUAUAGGGGUGUAUGCAAUUAAGUAAACAACAUCGUAAAUUUAUAUAAAAUCAUGCACGCGGAUCAUAAUGACUCACAAAGCUGGAAUAAAGCUGAAAUAUAAGAAUUUUAAAUCAUGAAUAAUGAACAUAUAUCAUAAAUCUUUAGCUCAAAAUCUGAACUUCUUCUUCUAUUCUCAAAACUCAAAGGCUAAGGAAAUCCGUAAACAAUAUUUUCAAAUCUCAUACUUUCAACUUAAUUCAGAGUAAGGGACAACUUCGAAAGUUUCUUUUAACCGACAUAAACCAUGUGAGCUUACCAUGGAAUCCAACGUUUUGUCCUCCUAAGAAGAAACCCCACGUUUGGAAGGAGCGUCAUACUCUUGCCAGGGAGUAUAACCUCAACUCAGUGAUCACCAACUCGGCCUUAGGCCCACAAAUCUCAACCCUACAGUGGCACAUAGUUUUGGAGAAGUAGGGUACGCUCACCCACACCUUCCGCUCGGUGCUAAAUACUACUCCCGUACUCAAGCUCAGUCCCAUUUAGGAAAUCCACCUCAAAAUAAUCUCAAGGGUCUAUAAUGAAGACCAAAUCAUAUUUCUCAUAAUUGAAUCAAAAUAAAUUGUGGAUUCCUAUUUUCAACUCAAAAUCACAAUAUCAUUCUUGACUCAAAUCUUCUCAAAAUCAUAUCUUUAUCAAAAUCGAACCCAUUCUUGACAUAAAUACAAUAGUUCAUUUUUUUUCCAAGAACAUAGACUUAAAAAUCUCAAUACCAAAUCUUUAGACUCAAAUUCAAGAUUCAAAACUCAUAACAAUUCUCAAUAUCAACUCAACCCACUAUUAUUCUUGAAAUCAUUCAACAAUACAAAUUCAUAAGUAAAGGAUAUAACUCAUGAAAUAAACUUUAAUUCAAGACAUAAUAAAUACAAGGUCAUGAAAAUCACAACUUAAAUAACUCAUAAUCCCAUAAUCUCAUAAAUAGUAUCUUGGUAUAAAUAUAUUCAACUUUAAUUUCAUAAAUACCAUAUAAAAUCAAAAACAUAUCUUGUAAUAAAAAUUAAGUUUUGGGCACAAGAACGGAAGGAUUAUUCUUGUUCAACACCCACAUACCUCAAAUUUAUGAGUAUUAAUGAACUUUUGAAUAGGAAACUCUAUUUGCAAAAUUGAUAGGCGCUCCUUGUAGCUCUUGUAAUGGGGAUCCCAACUCUUAAAUUAUUUUUGAAUUUCUACGGUUGAAUUUUGAGGGAUCUUGAUUUUUGUUUUGGGGCUAAGGGAAGUUGUUCUUG
rnacentral:lncRNA from 1 species